UUUCUCCCCUUAUCACUCCUGAGUCUUUUCUUCCAGGGAAGUUCUCAGAGAAGAAGGGUAUGCUGUGGACUGUAGCCCUUCUUGUAGCUUUCCUUGCUCCUGGCAUUCACGUAACUGCCAACCCAGAACAAAGGACACUGGUCACCCAGUCAGCUGGGUCGUCCGUUAUAAUCACUUGUGGGAUUUCUCAACAAAGUAACUACAUCCACUGGUACCGGUACCAGGAGGGAAAGGCCCUGCAACGCCUUUUGUACUAUGAGUUUUCUAGCUCUUCUGUUGCAAUGGAUUCGGGAUUCAACCCAAGGAAGUAUCAAGCUUAUGAGGGCCCAGGGAAGAGUUGUAAAUUUGUAAUACGCAAUCUGGAAGAAAGUGAUUCUGGAGUGUAUUACUGUGCCACCUGGGAUGACACAGUGGUUCAGACCUGCCCAAAGCCACACUGA